rnacentral:rRNA from 1 species
UACGAAGGGGGCUAGCGUUGUUCGGAAUUACUGGGCGUAAAGCGCGCGCAGGCGGUUUUUCAAGUCAGUGGUGAAAGCCCGGAGCUCAACUCCGGAACUGCCAUUGAAACUGUAAAACUUGAGGAUGAGAGAGGUGAGUGGAAUUCCCAGUGUAGAGGUGAAAUUCGUAGAUAUUGGGAAGAACACCGGUGGCGAAGGCGGCUCACUGGCUCAUUACUGACGCUCAGGCGCGACAGCGUGGGGAUCAAACAGG